AUUGAACGCUGGCGGCAUGCUUUACACAUGCAAGUCGAACGGUAACAGGCCUUCGGGCGCUGACGAGUGGCGAACGGGUGAGUAAUGCAUCGGAACGUGCCCAGUCGUGGGGGAUAACUAUCCGAAAGGAUAGCUAAUACCGCAUACGAUCUGCGGAUGAAAGCGGGGGACCUUCGGGCCUCGCGCGAUUGGAGCGGCCCAUGUCAGAGUAGGUAGUUGGUGGGGUAAAGGCUCACCAAGCCAACGAUCUGUAGCUGGUCUGAGAGGACGACCAGCCACACUGGGACUGAGACACGGCCCAGACUCCUACGGGAGGCAGCAGUGGGGAAUUUUGGACAAUGGGCGCAAGCCUGAUCCAGCAAUGCCGCGUGCAGGAAGAAGGCCUUCGGGUUGUAAACUGCUUUUGUACGGAACGAAACGGCUCUGGUUAAUACCCGGGGCUAAUGACGGUACCGUAAGAAUAAGCACCGGCUAACUACGUGCCAGCCGCCGCGGUAA
rnacentral:rRNA from 1 species